CCUGAUUUACAUCUAGGAUGCAAUUGUCUUCCUUCAUUUUCUUGAGAGAGAACCUUAGUUCUUAAAUUAGGUGCUGAAAGUAAGAGGACUGAAUAUGCUUAAAAUGGUGCAGUGGACACAGGGAAUCUGUUAAGGUCAGAGCCAAAGCUGGCAGGUCUGCAGAGCUUGAACACUCCUGUGACUUGAACGUGAAAACAUCACAAAUAUAUGACAUAAAGAGCUCAGUCUUCAUGGCUGAGAGUACAUCUACAUUAGUGUAUUGGAAUAGAGUUCACAUUUUAGCAACUGAAGAAGAUGAUGAAAGCUUUCUGAAACAGUUUGACCUAGACAAGCCCAGAGGGCUCACUGAAAAUGGUGUCAAUCCAGAAUCCAGACCCAAAGUAUUUGAACAAACCUUGUUGUUUCUGUGAAUGUGCUUGCUGCAAAGUGAUGGCAUCUGCUGAGCUUAAAGAUUAUGUUUAAAAAAAGAUAUUAUAUGUUAACAAGGCACCAGAAGAGAUUAUUCUCUGACCACAGAAAGUACCAAGAAGUAUCGUUGUGAUUAAGGGCUGGGUUCUUUCACAAAAAUGAGCCAGAAAUUGUUACCUGCCUGGAAAUCCUUGGCCAUGUCAUGGCACAGCAUAGGGCCAGCGCUCUCACAGUGCUAAUGACAGCCAGGGACCUCAUUUAUCUGGUAAAUCAGUGCCUGCACUAGUCGUCGUGCUUUCAUGCUCAUUUCUCACUCUGAGAAAUUUCACCUGGUCUUUCAGGGCCACCUUUAAGCUUCAGAUCCCACAUUCUGUGUGCAGGAAGACAGGAUGCCCAUUUAAAUGAAGUUCAAUUGCUUAUGAAGCUGUUCAGAAAUACCUUGCUAUGAUACCCGCUUGGCCUGUUUUCUCCUGUGUGUGUGGUUCUCUUUCAUCUUAACAUUCAUAUUGAAAAUUUGUUGAAGCAGAAGCCUUUCCUUUCAUGU